rnacentral:rRNA from 1 species
AUUGAACGCUGGCGGCAGGCCUAACACAUGCAAGUCGAGCGGAGCGGCGGACGGGUGAGUAAUGCCUAGGAAUCUGCCUGGUAGUGGGGGAUAACGUCCGGAAACGGGCGCUAAUACCGCAUACUAUCAGAUGAGCCUAGGUCGGAUUAGCUAGUUGGUGGGGUAAAGGCCUACCCAGGCCACGAUCCGUAACUGGUCGGAGGGGAUGAUCAGGCACACGGGAACUGAGACACGGUCCAGACGCCGACGGGAGGCAGCAGUGGGGAAUAGUGGGCAAUGGGCGAAAGGCUGAUCCAGCCAUGCCGCGUGGGUGAAGAAGGUCUUCGGAUUGUAAAGCACUUUAAGUUGGGAGGCGUUACCGACAGAAUAAGCACCGGCUAACUACGUGCCAGCCGCCGCGGUAAUUC